rnacentral:tRNA from 1 species
AUUUUCUUAGUAUAAUGAGUACAAAUGACUUCCAAUCAUUUAGCCUUGGUUUAAACCCGAGAGAAAAUA